GAUUAACGCUGGCGGCGUGCAUAACACAUGCAAGUCGAACGAUGAAACUUAGUCGACUUCUUCGGAAAGACACUAAGCGGAUUAGUGGCGAACGGGUGAGUAACGCGUGAGUAACCUGCCUUACACAAGGGGAUAGCCUUUGGAAACGAAGAAUAAUACCCUAUAAAACCAUAAAAGCACAUGCUAGAAUGGUCAAAGUGAUAGCGGUGUAAGAUGGACUUGCGCCUGAUUAGCUAGUUGGUGAGAUAAAAGCUCACCAAGGCAACGAUCAGUAGCCGGCUUGAGAGAGUGUACGGCCACAUUGGGACUGAGACACGGCCCAGACUCCUACGGGAGGCAGCAGUGGGGAAUUUUGCACAAUGGGGGAAACCCUGAUGCAGCGACGCCGCGUGAUUUAGAAGGCCUUCGGGUUGUAAAAAUCUUUUGUAUAGGAAGAAAAUGACAGUACUAUACGAAUAAGGUCCGGCUAAUUACGUG
rnacentral:rRNA from 1 species